AAUGGGGGAAACCCUGAUGCAGCGACGCCGCGUGAGCGAUGAAGCCCUUCGGGGUGUAAAGCUCUUUCGACGGGAACGAUAAUGACGGUACCCGGAGAAGAAGCUGCGGCUAACUACGUGCCAGCAGCCGCGGUAAUACGUAGGCAGCAAGCGUUGUUCGGAGUUACUGGGCGUAAAGAGUACGUAGGCGGUUUGCUAAGUCUGGUGUGAAAUCUCCUGGCUUAACUGGGAGGGUGCGCUAGAUACUGGCAGGCUUGAGUAUGGGAGAGGAGAGUGGAAUUCCUGGUGUAGCGGUGAAAUGCGUAGAUAUCAGGAGGAACGCCGGUGGUGUAGACGGCUCUCUGGACCAUUACUGACGCUGAGGUACGAAAGCGUGGGUAGCAAA
rnacentral:rRNA from 1 species